GGUCAAGUAGAAAAGGGCGCACGGUGAAUGCCUAGGCACUAAAAGCCGAUGAAGGACGUGACGAACUACGAAAAGCUUCGGGGAGCGGUAAGUACGCAGUGAUCCGGAGAUGUCCGAAUGGGGGAACCCAAUGCAGCGAUGCAUUAUUGGUUGAUGAAUAGAUAGUCAAUCAAGGGAAUACGCAGUGAACUGAAACAUCUAAGUAGCUGCAGGAAGAGAAAGAAAAAUCGAUUUCCUUAGUAGCGGCGAGCGAAGAGGAAAGAGCCCAAACCAAGUGAUUUAUCAUUUGGGGUUGUAGGACUGCAACGUGGUAGCGUGAGUGAUAGCAGAAUUAUCUGGGAAGGUAAGCCAGAGAGGGUGAGAGCCCCGUAAGCGAAAUUGCAAGCGCGCCUAGCAGAAUCCUGAGUAGGCCGGGACACGAGAAAUCCCGGUUGAAACCGCGAGGACCAUCUCGCAAGGCUAAAUACU
rnacentral:rRNA from 1 species